rnacentral:rRNA from 1 species
AGUAGUUUGACUCCGUGGCUACGAGGACGAACGCUGGCGGCGCGCCUAACACAUGCAAGUCGAACGGAGGUAUUGAGACAGAAGCUUCGGCGGAAGACUUAAUACUUUAGUGGCGAACGGGUGAGUAACACGUGAGGAACCUGCCUUUAAGAGGGGGAUAACACUUAGAAAUAGGUGCUAAUACCGCAUAAGACCACAGAGCGGCAUCGCUCAGGGGUCAAAGGAGGAAUCCGCUUAAAGAUGGCCUCGCGUCCGAUUAGGUAGUAGGCGGGGCAACGGCCCACCUAGCCUGCGAUCGGUAGCCGGACUGAGAGGUUGAACGGCCACAUUGGGACUGAGACACGGCCCAGACUCC